CAGCAGCCACGGGAAUACAGAGGGUGCGAGCGUUAAUCGGAUUUACUGGGCGUAAAGCGUGCGUAGGCGGCUAAUUGAGUCGGAUGUGAAAUCCCCGAGCUUAACUUGGGAAUUGCAUUCGAUACUGGUUAGCUAGAGUGUGGGAGAGGAUGGUAGAAUUCCAGGUGUAGCGGUGAAAUGCGUAGAGAUCUGGAGGAAUACCGAUGGCGAAGGCAGCCAUCUGGCCUAACACUGACGCUGAGGUACGAAAGCAUGGGGAGCAAACAGGAUUAGAUACCCGCGUAGUCCCUGUCUCUUAUAC
rnacentral:rRNA from 1 species